rnacentral:rRNA from 1 species
UGGGGAAUCUUGUGCAAUGGGCGAAAGCCUGACGCAGCCAUGCCGCGUGGAUGAUGAAGGUCUUAGGAUUGUAAAAUCCUUUCACCGGUGAAGAUAAUGACUGUAGCCGGAGAAGAAGCCCCGGCUAACUUCGUGCCAGCAGCCGCGGUAAUACGAAGGGGGCUAGCGUUGCUCGGAAUUACUGGGCGUAAAGGGAGCGUAGGCGGACAUUUAAGUCAGGGGUGAAAUCCCGGAGCUCAACUCCGGAACUGCCUUUGAUACUGGAUGUCUUGAGUGUGAGAGAGGUGAGUGGAACUCCGAGUGUAGAGGUGAAAUUCGUAGAUAUUCGGAAGAACACCAGUGGCGAAGGCGACUCACUGGCUCAUUACUGACGCUGAGGCUCGAAAGCGUGGGGAGCAAACAGGAUUAGAUACCCUGGUAGUCCACGCCGUAAACGAUGAUUGCUAGUUGUCGGGGGAGCUUGCUCUUCGGUGACGCAGCUAACGCAUUAAGCAAUCCGCCUGGGGAGUACGGUCGCAAGAUUAAAACUCAAAGGAAUUGACGGGGUCAUAGCUGUUUCCU